UUAAUUUCUCAGUGCCCCAGUGAACUCUCUAAGACAAUAAUUGACUUUAUCACCACCAAGACAGAAACAACCCAACAGCUGGGCACAGUUAAAUGGAAGCACAGUGAACAAACAAAACCAUCUUCUCCUGAGUGCGUCUAAUUAUCAUCAGGUAAAAUAGAAGACGACAAAACUGAGGCUCUGAGAAGUUCAUAAGAUCAUGGAUUGAGGCCUGGAAAGGACCUUUGAGACCACGAAGUCAAACCCCAGAGAAGGAAACCGAGGUUCAGAGAGAUGAAAGGACCUGCCCGGGGUCAGCCAGCUAGAAUAUGUCAGAGGCAAGAUGUGAACCCACCUCCUUCUGACUCCAAGUACGGCAUCCUCUGAACCACAUCAUGGCUUACCAUGAUCGCACAAGAAGUGUCUGAACUGGGGACUGAUCCCAGCAGUCCCCACUCUGGGUCUAGUGCUCUCUCCACUGUACCACACUGCCUCUCAGAAAUAAUCACUUCCUGGGAAACUUUGAUGGGCAAGGAGAGCAGUGGGAUUCAAAAACCUGUCUGUCUACUGGUCCUACAAUCAAACCCCAGAAAAAUGACAGUUUCUUGAGGGCAAGGACGGUUUUUUUGGUUUUGUUUUAUUUUUACCCCCAAGCACAGGGCUUUGGCACAAAAGCUUAACAGAUGACUGUUAACUGAUUUUCCAUGGCAAUUGUGUUAUAAGAUAUUUCUUUAAAAUUACUUAUAAAAGUGUCCCAAAAGUC